CUUUGGUCAUUUAGAGGAAGUAAAAGUCGUAACAAGGUUUCCGUAGGUGAACCUGCGGAAGGAUCAUUUGAGAAACAAACCCGAUGUGCUCUCUCGCUUAACGGCAGGAGUCAUCAACUCUCAUCCAUAACACCUGUGAACUGUAAGAUGUGGUGACUGCAAGUCCCCGUCUGCCCCUACAUAAACAAAUAAAGUAAUAAAAGUAGUAUUAUUAUAACCUAAUAAAACUUUCAACAACGGAUCUCUUGGCUCUCGCAUCGAUGAAGAACGCAGCGAAAUGCGAUAAGUAAUGUGAAUUGCAGAAUUCAGUGAAUCAUCGAAUCUUUGAACGCACCUUGCGCUCUAUGGUAUUCCGUAGAGCAUGCCUGUUUGAGUGUCAUGAAAACUAUCAACCUCGUCUUGGGUUUUAAUACUCGGGAUGAGGCUUGGACUUGGGUGUUUGCCACUUGACCAGUGGCUCACCUUGAAUCUAUUAGCUGGACUUGUUUGUGAAGACUGGUUUAACUUGGCGUAAUAAGUAUUUCGCUGAGGACAUCUCUCAGGGUGGCCAUUUUCGCAACGGUUGUCUGCUCUCUAACCAGUUUCAAAACCUGUCUUKGGAUGGGUGCAUGACUCUUUCUAUUAUUUGGCCUCAAAUCAGGUAGGACUACCCGCUGAACUUAAGCAUAUCAAUAAGCGGAGGAAAAGAAACUAACAAGGAUUCCCCUAGUAACGGCGAGUGAAGCGGGAAGAGCUCAAAUUUGAAAUCUGGUGGCCUCAGGUCAUCCGAGUUGUAAUCUAUAGAAACAUUUUCCGUGCUGGCUCAUGUACAAGUCCCUUGGAAUAGGGCGUCAUAGAGGGUGAGAAUCCCGUCCUUGACAUGAACCCCCAGUGCUCUGUGAUAUGUUUUCAAUGAGUCGAGUUGUUUGGGAAUGCAGCUCAAAAUGGGUGGUAAAUUCCAUCUAAAGCUAAAUAUUGGCGAGAGACCGAUAGCGAACAAGUACCGUGAGGGAAAGAUGAAAAGCACUUUGGAAAGAGAGUUAAACCAGUAUGUGAAAUUGUUGAAAGGGAAACGCUUGAAGU
rnacentral:rRNA from 1 species